rnacentral:rRNA from 1 species
CUACGGAGGGUGCAAGCGUUACUCGGAAUCACUGGGCGUAAAGCGCGCGCAGGCGGUCUUUUAAGUUGGAUGUGAAAGCCUACGGCUCAACCGUAGAACUGCAUCCAAAACUAUUAGACUAGAGUGUGGGAGAGGAAGAUGGAAUUAGUUGUGUAGGGGUAAAAUCCGUAGAGAUAACUAGGAAUACCAAAAGCGAAGGCAAUCUUCUGGAACACUACUGACGCUGAGGCGCGAAAGCGUGGGGAGCAAACAGGAUUAGAAACCCGAGUAGUCC